GCGACGCCGUGUAGAGGAUGAAGCCCUUCGGGGUNNNACUCUUGUUAGGGAGGACGAAGUCAAGUAUUUUUAAUAAAAAUACUUGGUGACGGUACUCCCGGAGGAAGCCCUGGCUAACCUCGUGCCAGCAGCCGCGGUAAUACGGGGAGGGCAAGCGUUGCCCGGAUUUACUGGGCUUAAAGGGGGCGCAGGCGGUUAGAUAUGUCAGGUGUGAAAUCCAUUCGCUUAACGGAUGGGCUGCGCCUGAAACUAUCUGACUCGAGGGCGAGAGAGGAGAGCGGAAUUCACGGUGUAGCGGUGAAAUGCGUGGAUAUCGUGGAGAACGCCAACAGGGAAGCCGGCUCUCUGGUUCGCUUCUGACGCUCAGGCCCGAAAGCUGGGGGAGCGAAGGGGAUUAGAUACCCCCGUAGUCUCAGCUGUAAACGAUGGGUGCUAGGUGUGGGAGGGGCAACCUUUCUGUGCCUCAGGUAAACCAUUAAGCACCCCGCCUGGGGAGUACACUCGCAAGGGUGAAACUCAAAGGAAUUGACG
rnacentral:rRNA from 1 species